rnacentral:misc_RNA from 1 species
AGCCUUAGCAGCCCGAAAGGGUGAGCCACCGACGACUGAUAAAUAAAUAGGGGUUCUGAAAUGCUAGUCAGCGCAGCCAAACGUCUCUAGGCGUCGCUGGCAACACCGUCAAAUUGCGGGGAUCUCCUAAAGACUCUUGACACCAAGCAGCACUGGGAAACCAGGCUGUGGCCAGGGCAAUGACCUCGGGUAUGGUAACAGCGCAAGAGUAUGUCCGCCUAGUCGUUAGGCGGUAAAUGGAUAAUCCGCAGCCAAGUCCUACGGCCUCCUCCGGGGGGUACGGAUGCUGUUCACAGGCCAAAUGGUGGUGGGUGGACGCCCAGAAAACGGGCGCUUCUGCUUAAGAUAUGGUCGGGCCCCUAGGGAAACCUAGGGGAUAGUCACCGCACGGUCAAAAUGUAGGCGCCGAGUCCAGUGUUCAGGCUCGGUGUCACGGGCGGCCGUGCCCCCUUGAUAAAACAAGGACGAUUUCCAAAACGUUCCGUAGGUGAACCUGCGGAAGGAUCAUUAACGAGUUAGGGUCUUCCAAAGCCCGACCUCCCAACCCUAUGUUUAUUGUACCUUGUGUUGCUUCGGCGGGACCGUCUCACGACCGCCGGAGGGCCGUAAAACGUCCUCUGGCCCGCGCCCGCCGAUGGCCCUCCACACAAAAUUCUGAAUAAAUCAUGCCUAAUUGUCUGAGUAUAAUACACAAAAAUUAAAAGCAAAACUUUCAACAACGGAUCUCUUGGUUCUGGCAUCGAUGAAGAACGCAGCGAAAUGCGAUAAGUAAUGCGAAUUGCAGAAUUCCAGUGAGUCAUCGAAUCUUUGAACGCACAUUGCGCCCUUUGGUAUUCCGAAGGGCAUGCCUGUUCGAGCGUCAUUUUCACCCCUCAAGCCCCCGGCUUGGUUUUGGACGGUCUGGUUUAGGCACCGCCUAGACCCCUCCUAAAGAUAAUGACGGCGGCCUCGUUUGGACCCCCGGUACACUGAGCUUCUUAACUGAGCACGUAUCGGAUCAAGGGUGCGCGGGACACGGUCUUCAACCCCCU